rnacentral:misc_RNA from 1 species
CAGAGUUCGUGCCCUCACGGGUAGAUCUCCCACCCUGUGUUAUUAUACCUUUGUUGCUUUGGCGGGCCGCCCUCGGCUACCGGCCCCGGCUGGUACGCGCCCGCCAGAGGACCCCAAACUCUGUGUUUAGUGUUGUCUGAGUACUAAGUUAAUACGUUA